CGAAGGGGGCUAGCGUUGUUCGGAAUUACUGGGCGUAAAGCGCGUGUAGGCGGUUGCCCAAGUCGGGUGUGAAAGCCUUGAGCUCAACUCAAGAAAUGCACUCGGUACUGGGUGACUAGAGGACCGGAGAGGAUAGUGGAAUUCCCAGUGUAGUGGUGAAAUACGUAGAGAUUGGGAAGAACACCAGUGGCGAAGGCGGCUAUCUGGACGGUUUCUGACGCUAAGACGCGAAAGCGUGGGGAGCAAACAGGAUUAGAUACCCUGGUAGUCCACGCCGUAAACGAUGGGUGCUAGACGUUGGCGAGCUUGCUCGUCAGUGUCGCAGCUAACGCGUUAAGCACCCCGCCUGGGGAGUACGCCGCAAGGUUG
rnacentral:rRNA from 1 species